rnacentral:rRNA from 1 species
AGUGAACGCUGGCGGUAGGCCUAACACAUGCAAGUCGAACGGCAGCACAGUAGGAGCUUGCCCUUACGGGUGGCGAGUGGCGGACGGGUGAGGAAUACAUCGGAAUCUACUUUUUCGUGGGGGAUAACGUAGGGAAACUUACGCUAAUACCGCAUACGACCUACGGGUGAAAGCAGGGGAUCUUCGGACCUUGCGCGAUUGAAUGAGCCGAUGUCGGAUUAGCUAGUUGGCGGGGUAAAGGCCCACCAAGGCGACGAUCCGUAGCUGGUCUGAGAGGAUGAUCAGCCACACUGGAACUGAGACACGGUCCAGACUCCUACGGGAGGCAGCAGUGGGGAAUAUUGGACAAUGGGCGCAAGCCUGAUCCAGCCAUACCGCGUGGGUGAAGAAGGCCUUCGGGUUGUAAAGCCCUUUUGUUGGGAAAGAAAAGCAGCAGGUUAAUACCCCGCUGUUCUGACGGUACCCAAAGAAUAAGCACCGGCUAACUUCGUG